rnacentral:rRNA from 1 species
GACAGAGGCCUCGAGCGUUAGGCGGAAUCACUGGGCUUAAAGCGUGUGUAGGCGGAUCGUUAAGUAUCUUGUGAAAUCCCACGGCUCAACCGUGGAACGGCUGGGUAUACUGGCGGUCUUGGGCCAUUCAGGGGCGACUGGAACAAGCGGUGGAGCGGUGAAAUGCGUAGAUAUCGCUUGGAACGCCGAAGGUGAAAACAGGUCGCUGGGGAUGUGCCGACGCUGAGACACGAAAGCCAGGGGAGCAAACGGG